AGAAACUGUACACGAACUACAAGUAGAGCCAAACUUACCUCUGCAAUGUAUAAACCCAGCUACUAACCAUGUCAUCAAGAUAAGCCACUUGCGAUAAAAGACGACCAAAUUGAUACCUAUCCCUCCCAUUCUGAACUUUAUAAUUGAUCUGUUCAACCAGAAGCUCGAGAACUUUUCGAACCUCCGAGAAAACUUCUCUAACGGAUGAGUAUUUGCCUCUGUAUGCCAACAAUCCAAUAGCUAUCAGG
rnacentral:lncRNA from 1 species